ensembl:lncRNA
CUCUUAUCUGGCCAGACAGAUCAGGUCAUUCAUUUUCCCACUGCUCCCUCUCUUAUCUGGCUCGACAGAUCAGGUCAUUCAUUUCCCCACUGCUCCCUCUCUUAUCUGGCCAGACAGAUCAGGUCAUUCAUUUUCCCACUGCUCCCUCUCUUAUCUGGCCAGACAGAUCAGGUCGUUCAUUUUCAUUUGAACUUCCAUUGUCUUUUAUUUGUUUCGAUCCUCAGUUUUCACAGUUUACCUUGCUACUCUGUAGGCUACGUGAUAAAAUUGCAAAGCUGGGGAAAUCCUAUAACACUGAUCAUAGCUACAUUUUCAUUUGCUUUUACUCAUUAGACCACAGAGGUCCAUGAGACGUCUUCCUAAAGCUGAGAUUGGAGUGAGUAAAAAUAGCAAAAAUAUAACAGACACAAAAUAAUUGAUGAAUCAUGAUUUCCAUGUGGAAAUAUCAAAAUAUAUAAAGACAGACUUAAAUACGAUGCACAUGCGUCUCGAGUAUGGCAGUAUCAGUGAUAGCAAUACUAUACUGCAGUUCAUGGUCUUGUAUCAUCAGGAAAAUGUCUGCAAUGCAGAGUGGUGUGAUGAGAUCCAUCAAGAUCUCCAACUGCACUGAAGAUCACAAAUAUGUUAUUGAACUAACGUUUUUUUAGUUUUUCCUCUCUUCAGAAGGAAACAAAAUAAGAUUUGAACAGCACAUAGGGAUUGAUUAGUUACUGGAUAUUGAUCUGAACAAAAAACAUGAAGAGGUGAUAGUCAGCCUACCAAUCGUACCAAAACAUGAGUGAGGGCUAGGUCUACAAACCACGGUUUGUGUUUAAUUGAUAUUUACGUGUUUAAUUGAUAUUUCACUGCCAAGGCAGGAGUAGUUUUGAUAAUCUGUACACAGAGCUGCUAGUAUUUGAUUGUUCCACAUUGUAUUAUGUCUAUGUUGAAGAAGCCACAUGAGAAUUACUGAGGUGAGAUGAAAUUAAAGAGAGUCAGAUAUGGAAAUAAACAAGAGAAAAUGUUA